CGCGGGGUGGAGCAGUGGUAGCUCGUCGGGCUCAUAACCCGAAGGUCACAGGUUCAAGUCCUGUCCCCGCAACCA
rnacentral:tRNA from 4 species